rnacentral:rRNA from 1 species
AUGAACGCUAGCGACAGGCUUAACACAUGCAAGUCGAGGGGCAGCACAGGUAGCAAUACCGGGUGGCGACCGGCGCACGGGUGAGUAACGCGUAUGCAACUUACCUAUCAGAGGGGGAUAACCCGGCGAAAGUCGGACUAAUACCGCAUGAAGCAGGGGCCCCGCAUGGGGAUAUUUGCUAAAGAUUCAUCGCUGAUAGAUAGGCAUGCGUUCCAUUAGGCAGUUGGCGGGGUAACGGCCCACCAAACCGACGAUGGAUAGGGGUUCUGAGAGGAAGGUCCCCCACAUUGGUACUGAGACACGGACCAAACUCCUACGGGAGGCAGCAGUGAGGAAUAUUGGUCAAUGGCCGAGAGGCUGAACCAGCCAAGUCGCGUGAGGGAUGAAGGUUCUAUGGAUCGUAAACCUCUUUUAUAAGGGAAUAAAGUGCGGGACGUGUCCCGUUUUGUAUGUACCUUAUGAAUAAGGAUCGGCUAACUCCGUGCCAGCAGCCGCGGUAAUACGGAGGAUCCGAGCGUUAUCCGGAUUUAUUGGGUUUAAAGGGUGCGUAGGCGGCCUUUUAAGUCAGCGGUGAAAGUCUGUGGCUCAACCAUAGAAUUGCCGUUGAAACUGGGGGGCUUGAGUAUGUUUGAGGCAGGCGGAAUGCGUGGUGUAGCGGUGAAAUGCAUAGAUAUCACGCAGAACCCCGAUUGCGAAGGCAGCCUGCCAAGCCAUGACUGACGCUGAUGCACGAAAGCGUGGGGAUCAAACAGGAUUAGAUACCCUGGUAGUCCACGCAGUAAACGAUGAUCACUAGCUGUUUGCGAUACACUGUAAGCGGCACAGCGAAAGCGUUAAGUGAUCCACCUGGGGAGUACGCCGGCAACGGUGAAACUCAAAGGAAUUGACGGGGGCCCGCACAAGCGGAGGAACAUGUGGUUUAAUUCGAUGAUACGCGAGGAACCUUACCCGGGUUUUAACGCAUUCGGACCGAGGUGGAAACACCUUUUCUAGCAAUAGCCGUUUGCGAGGUGCUGCAUGGUUGUCGUCAGCUCGUGCCGUGAGGUGUCGGCUUAAGUGCCAUAACGAGCGCAACCCUUAUCGAUAGUUACCAUCAGGUUAUGCUGGGGACUCUGUCGAGACUGCCGUCGUAAGAUGUGAGGAAGGUGGGGAUGACGUCAAAUCAGCACGGCCCUUACAUCCGGGGCGACACACGUGUUACAAUGGCGUGGACAAAGGGAGGCCACCUGGUGACAGGGAGCGAAUCCCCAAACCACGUCUCAGUUCGGAUCGGAGUCUGCAACCCGACUCCGUGAAGCUGGAUUCGCUAGUAAUCGCGCAUCAGCCAUGGCGCGGUGAAUACGUUCCCGGGCCUUGUACACACCGCCCGUCAAGCCAUGGGAGCCGGGGGUACCUGAAGUCCGUAACCGAAAGGAUCGGCCUAGGGUAAAACUGGUGACUGGGGCU